rnacentral:rRNA from 1 species
UGAGACAGGUGCUGCAUGGCUGUCGUCAGCUCGUGUUGUGAAAUGUUGGGUUAAGUCCCGCAACGAGCGCAACCCUUAUCCUUUGUUGCCAGCGGUCCGGCCGGGAACUCAAAGGAGACUGCCAGUGAUAAACUGGAGGAAGGUGGGGAUGACGUCAAGUCAUCAUGGCCCUUACGACCAGGGCUACACACGUGCUACAAUGGCGCAUACAAAGAGAAGCGACCUCGCGAGAGCAAGCGGACCUCAUAAAGUGCGUCGUAGUCCGGAUUGGAGUCUGCAACUCGACUCCAUGAAGUCGGAAUCGCUAGUAAUCGUGGAUCAGAAUGCCACGGUGAAUACGUUCCCGGGCCUUGUACACACCGCCCGUCACACCAUGGGAGUGGGUUGCAAAAGAAGUAGGUAGCUUAACCUUCGGGAGGGCGCUUACCACUUUGUGAUUCAUGACUGGGGUGAAGUCGUAACAAGGUAACCGUAGGGGAACCUGCGGUUGGA